AGGUGGGGAAUUGCUUCAGUCAUUAUCAGCUGAUUUUGAUUCGGAAUCAGUUCAAUACGUUGAUACAUUACACAAAUCACUAAUCGAUCAAGAGAUUCAGUUAACAUCAUUACUGACAACAAGAAGACACGAACUAAAGAAUCACCAAAAGUUGAUCAGCGUACAUCAGGCGAAUGAAGAGGUGUUGCUAUGGAUACGGGAACAAGGUCUCCCUCAUUUAACUGCCUAUUGCUCCCUGAGAUUCAGUGUCUCCUCAAUCAA